GGCUUGUUGGUCUAGGGGUAUGAUUCUUGCUUUGGAUGCAAAGAGUCCCUGGUUCAAAUCCCAGACAAGCUC
rnacentral:tRNA from 1 species